rnacentral:rRNA from 1 species
AUUGAACGCUGGCGGCAGGCUUAACACAUGCAAGUCGAGCGGGGUGAUGGUGCUUGCACUAUCACUUAGCGGCGGACGGGUGAGUAAUGCUUAGGAAUCCGCCUAUUAGUGGGGGACAACAUCUCGAAAGGGAUGCUAAUACCGCAUACGUCCUACGGGAGAAAGCAGGGGAUCACUUGUGACCUUGCGCUAAUAGAUGAGCCUAAGUCGGAUUAGCUAGUUGGUGGGGUAAAGGCCUACCAAGGCGACGAUCUGUAGCGGGUCUGAGAGGAUGAUCCGCCACACUGGGACUGAGACACGGCCCAGACUCCUACGGGAGGCAGCAGUGGGGAAUAUUGGACAAUGGGGGGAACCCUGAUUCAGCCAUGCCGCGUGUGUGAAGAAGGCCUUAUGGUUGUAAAGCACUUUAAGCGAGGAGGAGGCUCUUUUGGUUAAUACCCAAGAUGAGUGGACGUUACUCGCAGAAUAAGCACCGGCUAACUCUGUGCCAGCAGCCGCGGUAA